rnacentral:rRNA from 1 species
GGCUCAGGACGAACGCUGCGGCGUGCUUAACACAUGCAAGUCGAACGAUGAUGCCCAGCUUGCUGGGUGGAUUAGUGCGAACGGGUGAGUAACACGUGAGUAACCUGCCCUGACUCUGGGAUAAGCGUUGGAAACGACGUCUAAUACUGGAUAUGACUACCGGCCGCAUGGUCUGGUGGUGGAAAGAUUUUUUGGUUGGGGAUGGACUCGCGGCCUAUCAGCUUGUUGGUGAGGUAAUGGCUCACCAAGGCGACGACGGGUAGCCGGCCUGAGAGGGUGACCGGCCACACUGGGACUGAGACACGGCCCAGACUCCUACGGGAGGCAGCAGUGGGGAAUAUUGCACAAUGGGCGAAAGCCUGAUGCAGCAACGCCGCGUGAGGGAUGACGGCCUUCGGGUUGUAAACCUCUUUUAGUAGGGAAGAAGCGAAAGUGACGGUACCUGCAGAAAAAGCACCGGCUAACUACGUGCCAGCAGCCGCGGUAAUACGUAGGGUGCAAGCGUUGUCCGGAAUUAUUGGGCGUAAAGAGCUCGUAGGCGGUUUGUCGCGUCUGCUGUGAAAUCCCGAGGCUCAACCUCGGGCUUGCAGUGGGUACGGGCAGACUAGAGUGCGGUAGGGGAGAUUGGAAUUCCUGGUGUAGCGGUGGAAUGCGCAGAUAUCAGGAGGAACACCGAUGGCGAAGGCAGAUCUCUGGGCCGUAACUGACGCUGAGGAGCGAA